rnacentral:lncRNA from 1 species
AAGAGUUUUCCACCUUUCCGACUUAGAAUUCCUUCAUUUAUCAGGCAAUCCCCAGCUCACGGUUAGGUUUCCCACAACCAAAUGGAAUAGCAGUGCAUCACUCAUGAAGUUAUACGUCGAUAGUGUGAAUAUUGCUGAUAGGAUACCUGAAUCAUUUAGCCAUCUAACUUCACUUCAUGAGCUGGACAUGGGUUAUACUAAUCUAUCAGGGCCUAUUCCUAAACCUUUAUGGAAUCUCACCAACAUAGAGAGUUUGUUCCUUGAUGAUAACCAUCUUGAAGGACCAAUUCCCCAGCUCCCGAGAUUUGAAAAGCUCAACGACUUAUCACUUGGAUAUAACAACUUGGAUGGAGGACUUGAGUUCUUAUCCUCUAACAGAAGCUGGACGGAGCUUGAAAUAUUAGAUUUUUCAUCCAAUUACCUUACUGGUCCAAUUCCAUCCAACGUAAGUGGACUACGAAAUCUACAAUUACUCCACUUGUCAUCAAACCACUUGAAUGGGACUAUACCUUCCUGGAUAUUCUCCCUUCCUUCACUGGUAGUGUUAGACUUGAGCAAUAACACUUUCAGUGGAAAAAUUCAAGAGUUCAAGUCCAAAACAUUAAUUACCGUUACCCUAAAACAAAAUAAGCUGAAAGGUCCUAUUCCGAAUUCACUCCUAAACCAGCAGAGCCUAUCUUUUCUUCUCCUUUCACACAAUAAUAUCAGUGGACAUAUUUCUUCAUCUAUCUGCAAUCUGAAAACAUUGAUAUCGUUAGACUUGGGAAGUAACAAUUUGGAGGGAACAAUCCCACAAUGCGUGGGUGAGAUGAAAGAAAACCUUUGGAGUUUGGAUUUGAGCAACAACAGUUUUAGUGGGACAAUCAAUACAACUUUUAGUGUUGGAAAUUUUUUAAGGGUCAUUAGCUUGCACGGGAAUAAACUAACCGGUAAAGUCCCACGAUCUUUGAUCAAUUGCAAGUAUUUGACACUACUUGAUCUAGGUAACAAUAUGUUGAAUGACACAUUUCCAAACUGGUUGGGAUACCUACCUGAUUUGAAGAUUUUAAGCUUGAGAUCAAAUAAGUUGCAUGGUCCCAUCAAAUCUUCAGGGAAUACAAACUUGUUUACGCGUCUUCAAAUUCUUGAUCUAUCAUCUAAUGGAUUUAGUGGGAAUUUACCCGAAAGUAUUUUGGGGAAUUUGCAAGCCAUGAAAAAAAUUAAUGAGAGUACAAGAUUCCCAGAGUAUAUUUCUGAUCCAUAUGAUAUUUUUUACAAUUAUUUGACGACAAUUACUACAAAGGGACAAGAUUAUGAUUCUGUUAGAAUUUUUACUUCUAACAUGAUUAUCAAUCUCUCAAAGAACAGAUUCGAAGGUCAUAUUCCAAGCAUUAUUGGAGAUCUUGUUGGACUUCGUACGUUGAACUUAUCUCACAAUGCCUUGGAAGGUCAUAUACCGGCAUCAUUUCAAAAUUUAUCAGUACUCGAAUCAUUGGAUCUCUCAUCUAAUAAAAUCAGCGGAGAAAUUCCGCAGCAGCUUGCAUCCCUCACAUUCCUUGAAGUCUUAAAUCUCUCUCACAAUCAUCUUGUUGGAUGCAUCCCCAAAGGAAAACAAUUUGAUUCGUUCGGGAACACUUCGUACCAAGGGAAUGAUGGGUUACGCGGAUUUCCACUCUCAAAACUUUGUGGUGUUGAUGAUCAAGUGACAACUCCAGCUGAGCUAGAUCAAGAAGAGGAGGAAGAAGAUUCACCAAUGAUCAGUUGGCAGGGGGUUCUCGUGGGUUACGGUUGUGGACUUGUUAUUGGACUGUCUGUAAUAUACAUAAUGUGGUCAACUCAAUAUCCAGCAUGGUUUUCGAGGAUGGAUUUAAAGUUGGAACGCAUAAUUACUAAGAGAAUGAAAAAGCACAAGAAAAGAUAUUAGUGAGUAGCUAUACCUCCAGGUAUUCAACUUUUUAUAAAUCAAUGUAUUUUCAUCCUCAAAGCUCUUACCUUUAAUUCUUAUUGCAGGGUUCAUGUCGACAAAGUUUCUGAAGAUGCAGAUUAAAUCCUUUAUCUUUCAUAAUCUGUGAUGUUUUCGUAAAGUAUUUGUUAUCCUAUGAACAAAGACAUGACUUUUCUUCCUUUCAGACUCAAAUCAUAGUUUGCUUUCAUUUGUCUAUGGCAUGUAGAUAUAAAUUCGACUGAUAAACAAAAGUCGGACAUAAUGUUGAAUCUUUGAAUCAAUCAGACGAUAUGUUUCAUCGCUAAAGACAUUGUAUUGCACUCAACUCUUUCACAUAGACAUCAUAACACAAACAUACAACACUCUACUUUAAGUUCGGAAACAUAAAAAUCUGAAUUUACAGAGUCUGAAAAUAUCUUAUUUCAGACUCAUGAUGUUCCUUCAUCGGAAGAUCAAAGAGACAUCAGGAAAAAUAUUUGUUAUAUUCUCUACUGCCUGAGCCUCACAUAGAGAUCAUCAUGUGUUUUCAACAUUCUUUGAAGAGUUGGAGAAAGAGACUUCAACUCUUCCCAUCUAAGUUUCGGACGAUAGAGUUACGUGAUAUCUCUAUUGAUGUAAAGUAGACGGCAGUACCGAUUGAAUUAAUCAAAUAGAACACAAGCUGACGUGAGAGCAUCACUGUAAUACAACAACAAACUACGCUUCAGCCCGAAACAAUAACUUGCAUAGGGACCUGCAAUAAUGUUCAAAGUCCAAAACAAGAUGGACAUAAACACACAACUGAGUGAUAGAAUUCUAGUGAUCGAAAUCAAUAUGGACGUCAAACUUCAUUUGGGAAGAAAUCGAGCAGAAGCGCUUGACUGCAGGUGAGGUUUAUCGUGAUCAAUUAAUUAGCAAUUCGCUUCAUAAAAAUUCAGCUAAUGAAAAGUAGAAAACAAACAGAAACACCUCUCCAAACAGACUUUGGAAGCAGAUUUGCUGUGCAUUUUCACCAAAAUGAAGCCUCCUUGAUCUGUCGAGCUAUGACUUAGCUGAUUUUGAUGAGUCGAGAUUUCGUCAUCAAGAUGCUGCAGUUUUCAGCUCCACUAAAUUAAAAUGAGGGCUGGAAUGAACAUAACGCACUGAAUGAUUGGGUUGCGACUCAAGCAGUAGUUGUGAUACUUCAUUUCCCAAUUCAGUAGCUCUACAUUAAGAAAAUGUAGUAUCCAACACUGCCUCUAAACACUUUCCAAUUCAUAACCACUAAUUUAAAAGUUCAUGCUAAAGAGCAUGAGGAUUUGAGUACGCUUGAGGGCAUAGCAUCGAGAAUGCUCAUUUUAAAUAAGAGUAUCACUUCACUUUAUGCAUUUCUUCUUUCUCGUACCAACUUCUAAUGCGAGACUUUGUUCAUACCCCCAAUUUUCGACAUAACAACUUUCUGCUUAAUUCAUCACUUUCCAGUUCCAAAACUGAAGAAAGUGAAAACUAAUUAACAAAUAUUGAACAGAUUCCCUGAAUUAUUAUUUUGUUCACUUACAAUAUUCCCUGGAUACGAAGUAAUUAAUUCCCUGAGAUGUGGGAACACAAAUAAGCUCAGGACAUUGUGUGUGUCUGUGUAUGCGUGCAGGGUUGUUAAGAAAGACAAAACAAAGACGCUUUUUAAUAAUAAUAAUAAUAUGAAUUAAUCAAAAAAAAUUCAAAUGUCAUUACUGUUUAAUUAAACUAAUUAUAACUUUUUAAUUUAUAGGAGGGUAAAAUCGUAAUUCAACUUUUAACUUGAGUUCUUUCCACUUAUGAAAGUCGUGUAAAACAACGAUAUUUUUUGUGAGAUGCAUGUGUUAUGUACAAGUCGUGGAACUUUGUGUUGUUGCUUUCAUUUGAAUUGAGAAUUAAUGCAGCAUGCUUCGUACAAACUUAUUGAAUUUUCAACUUUAAAGGUUUUUCCCCCGUUCUAUACACAAACUAAGAAAAAUUUAAAUUAUAUAGUCUUUGGAUGGUGACCUAUUUGAACCUUUUUGGAAAGAUGAACCCGUAAUUAACGCGGUAUUUUUGGGGAAAUUGAAGGAGCUUGAAGGGAUAAUUGAUGCUAGAAAUGCUGAUUGUAAUUUGAAGAAUAGAAAUGGAGCUGGAGUUAUGCCUUGUGAGUUAUUGAAACCAUUUUCUGAACCUGGAAUUACUGGAAAAGGUGUACCUUAUAGCAUUUCCAUUUGAUUUUUUUUUAAAAAAAAAAAAAUAUUUGUGAAUUAUGUAAUAAGAUGCAAUUGAAAGAAGUAUAUAUUAUAAUGCAAGACAAUUGUUGUAAUAUACUGGUCCAACUGUUACGGUAUUGUCUGUUAUCUUUGAGCCUCGGUGCCUCAACAGUUGAUUCUGAACGCAUUCUUAUGAGAUCCCUAGCUUUCUUCUCCCAUUUCGAUGUAAGAUUCGCCUAAAGUGUAACAUGUAAUGUAUUCGUCUUCUUCAGGGGCUAUGAUCCGUCCGUCAUGGACGUUUCGAAUGUGUAUUUCUUGUUUCGUAAGUGCCCUUCGUAACAAUAUUAGUUCUAACCAUCACUACAAAAAUAAAAAAGUAUUUAGUAAAUUGACGGAUAAAUUUGGUAGUUGAACAACAAAAUUCAUCGUUAAUUCUAUUUAGCCACAGAUUUCUGUUAACUACGAGUGAAAUAACUAUGGUCAUCACAUUUUUUUUUUAUUUUCCUUGGCUGUAAUUUGAACUUGACUUGGAAGUCAAGAUCUAUGCACCAACCAAUCAAUUUUUUUGGAAUUUUGAUUUGAAAUGUCUUUUCUCAAAGUUUAUGAACCAAAUAUUACGCUUAAUAUGAUAGCUUCCUCUUAUCAAACUUUUUGAAUUUUCAACUUUAAAUGUCUUUGCCCCAUUCUAUACACCAACUAAGAAAAAUUAAAAUUACAGUCUUUGCAUAUUUGGAUAAUAGGGGCAUUAUUGGACCAAACUAUUAGAUGUAUGAAUAUUUUGGAUCAGGCUAUUGACAACACGAACAUUUUUAGACCAAACUAUUAACUCAGAAUAUUUUCCGUUGAAUGAAUAGGUAACUAGUAGUAAAUUUUUAGACCAAACUAUGAAGAACAUGCCAUGUCUGGACUCCUGCACUAUCUUCCAUCAACAGGUCAAUUCUCUCAACUCUAUUGGUGGAAGGUAGACGGUACGAAUUGAAUUAUAUUAGAAGACAAGCUGACCUGAGCAUCACUGUUAUACAACAACAACAAACUACGCUUCAGCCCCAAACAAUAGUGACCCGAAUCAUAUAUUGUCACGAGUUUUUUUUAGAGUAUGUUGCAUAUAUUAUACUCAACUUAGGGUUUGUCAUUCUGAUGCUUCGUACAAAUUUAUUGAAUUUUCAACUUUAAAGGUUUAUGAACCAAAUAUUACGCUUACUAUGAUAGCGGUCUUUUUUGAUUAAUCAAACUUAUUGAAUUUUCAACUUUAAAGGUUUUUCCCCGUUCUAUACACAAACUAAGAAAAAUUUAAAUUAUAUAGUCUUUGGAUGGUGACCUAUUUGGAUGGUAACAUUAUUGGACCAAACUAUUGAUAACGUGGACAUUGUUAGACCAAACUGAGAAGGACAUGUCUGGACUCCUGCUCCGUCUUCCAUCAGCAGGUCGAUUCUUGUGGAAAAUUAGCUCGAGGUGGCGCACUAUGUGAGGUAACUAGUAUUAAAUUUUUCUUUGCUUAAUUUGUGCUAUAUAUACCUCCUCUAAAUUAUUGAAUAUUCACACAAAGCAAACAUUCUUGAUUUCUUCUCUAUCAACAUAACAAGUUUUGAUCAUUUUUAGUUCAGAAAUGGAUUGUGUAAAACUUGUAUUCCUUAUGCUAUAUACCUUUCUCUGUCAACUUGCUUUAUCCUCAUCCUUGCCUCAUUUGUGCCCCGAAGAUCAAGCUCUUUCUCUUCUACAAUUCAAGAACAUGUUUACCAUUAAUCCUAUUGCUUCUGAUUAUUGUUACGACAUAAGAACAGACGUAGACAUUCAGUCAUAUCCAAGAACUCUUUCUUGGAACAAAAGCACAAGUUGCUGCUCAUGGGAUGGCGUUCAUUGUGACGAGACGACAGGACAAGUGAUUGCGCUUGACCUACGUUGCAGCCAACUUCAAGGCAAGUUUCAUUCCAAUGGUAGCCUCUUUCAACUCUCCAAUCUAAAAAGGCUUGAUUUGUCUUUUAAUAAUUUCACUGGAUCACUCAUUUCACCAAAAUUUGGUGAGUUUUCAAAUUUGACGCAUCUCGAUUUGUCGCAUUCCAGUUUUACAGGUCUAAUUCCUUCUGAAAUCUGUCACCUUUCUAAACUACACGUUCUUCGUAUAUGUGAUCAACAUGGGCCUGUGAUAGGAUACCUGAAUCAUUUAGCCAUCCAACUUCACUUCAUGAGUUGAACAUGAGUCGUUCUAAUCUGUCAGGGCCUAUUCCUAAACAUCUAUGGAAUCUCACCAACAUAGUGUUUUUGGACCUUAAUAAUAACCACCUUGAAGGACCAAUUCCCCAGCUCCCGAGAUUUGAAAGGCUCAAGGCGUUAUCACUUGGAAAUAACAAUUUGGAUGGCGGAGUUGAGUUCUUAUCCUUUAACA